rnacentral:rRNA from 1 species
GUUGGGUAGGGGAGCGUUCUGUAAGCCUGCGAAGGUGGCCUGUGAGGGUUGCUGGAGGUAUCAGAAGUGCGAAUGCUGACAUAAGUAACGAUAAAGCGGGUGAAAAGCCCGCUCGCCGGAAGACCAAGGGUUCCUGUCCAACGUUAAUCGGGGCAGGGUGAGUCGACCCCUAAGGCGAGGCCGAAAGGCGUAGUCGAUGGGAAACGGGUUAAUAUUCCCGUACUUGGUGUUACUGCGAAGGGGGGACGGAGAAGGCUAUGUUGGCCGGGCGACGGUUGUCCCGGUUUAAGCGUGUAGGCUGGUUUUCCAGGCAAAUCCGGAAAAUCAAGGCUGAGGCGUGAUGACGAGGCACUACGGUGCUGAAGCAACAAAUGCCCUGCUUCCAGGAAAAGCCUCUAAGCAUCAGGUAACAUCAAAUCGUACCCCAAACCGACACAGGUGGUCAGGUAGAGAAUACCAAGGCGCUUGAGAGAACUCGGGUGAAGGAACUAGGCAAAAUGGUGCCGUAACUUCGGGAGAAGGCACGCUGACACGUAGGUGAAGUGAUUUACUCAUGGAGCUGAAGUCAGUCGAAGAUACCAGCUGGCUGCAACUGUUUAUUAAAAACACAGCACUGUGCAAACACGAAAGUGGACGUAUACGGUGUGACGCCUGCCCGGUGCCGGAAGGUUAAUUGAUGGGGUCAGCGCAAGCGAAGCUCCUGAUCGAAGCCCCGGUAAACGGCGGCCGUAACUAUAACGGUCCUAAGGUAGCGAAAUUCCUUGUCGGGUAAGUUCCGACCUGCACGAAUGGCGUAAUGAUGGCCAGGCUGUCUCCACCCGAGACUCAGUGAAAUUGAACUCGCUGUGAAGAUGCAGUGUACCCGCGGCAAGACGGAAAGACCCCGUGAACCUUUACUAUAGCUUGACACUGAACAUUGAGCCUUGAUGUGUAGGAUAGGUGGGAGGCUUUGAAGUGUGGACGCCAGUCUGCAUGGAGCCGACCUUGAAAUACCACCCUUUAAUGUUUGAUGUUCUAACGUGGACCCGUUACCCGGGUUGCGGACAGUGUCUGGUGGGUAGUUUGACUGGGGCGGUCUCCUCCUAAAGAGUAACGGAGGAGCACGAAGGUUGGCUAAUCCUGGUCGGACAUCAGGAGGUUAGUGCAAUGGCAUAAGCCAGCUUGACUGCGAGCGUGACGGCGCGAGCAGGUGCGAAAGCAGGUCAUAGUGAUCCGGUGGUUCUGAAUGGAAGGGCCAUCGCUCAACGGAUAAAAGGUACUCCGGGGAUAACAGGCUGAUACCGCCCAAGAGUUCAUAUCGACGGCGGUGUUUGGCACCUCGAUGUCGGCUCAUCACAUCCUGGGGCUGAAGUAGGUCCCAAGGGUAUGGCUGUUCGCCAUUUAAAGUGGUACGCGAGCUGGGUUUAGAACGUCGUGAGACAGUUCGGUCCCUAUCUGCCGUGGGCGCUGGAGAACUGAGGGGGGCUGCUCCUAGUACGAGAGGACCGGAGUGGACGCAUCACUGGUGUUCGGGUUGUCAUGCCAAUGGCACUGCCCGGUAGCUAAAUGCGGAAGAGAUAAGUGCUGAAAGCAUCUAAGCACGAAACUUGCCCCGA